AGGUACGGCCCACCAAGGCGACGAUCGGUAGCCGGCCUGAGAGGGCGGACGGCCACAUUGGGACUGAGACACGGCCCAGACUCCUACGGAAGGCAGCAG
rnacentral:rRNA from 1 species